AGAGGGAUAGCUGGGUCAAAUGGUGGUUUAAUUCCAAUUUUUCCAAGGAAUGUCCAUACUGCUUUCCAUAUUGGCUACACCAAUUUGCAAUCCCACCAGCAAU
rnacentral:pre_miRNA from 1 species